rnacentral:rRNA from 1 species
UUCGGGGUGUGUGGUGGUGGGAUUCCUUUGAUUGACAAUGAUGGUCCGCCAGGACCAUGUCGGUCAGGGUUCGCCUUCACAAUGGUUUGACCACCGUCCCGAGCUUCGUGUUCGGGGGGUGGUUGGUAGGCCUUUGAUGGAGAGUUUGAUCCUGGCUCAGGACGAACGCUGGCGGCGUGCUUAACACAUGCAAGUCGAGCGGUAAGGCCCUUCGGGGUACACGAGCGGCGAACGGGUGAGUAACACGUGAGCAACCUGCCCCUGACUCUGGGAUAAGCCCGGGAAACCGGGUCUAAUACCGGAUACGACGCGCACCCGCAUGGGUUGCGUGUGGAAAGUUUUUUCGGUUGGGGAUGGGCUCGCGGCCUAUCAGCUUGUUGGUGGGGUGAUGGCCUACCAAGGCGGUGACGGGUAGCCGGCCUGAGAGGGCGACCGGCCACACUGGGACUGAGACACGGCCCAGACUCCUGCGGGAGGCAGCAGUGGGGAAUCUUGCGCAAUGGGCGAAAGCCUGACGCAGCGACGCCGCGUGGGGGAUGACGGCCUUCGGGUUGUAAACCUCUUUUACCACUGAAGCAGGCCAGGGUUUCUGCUCUGGUUGACGGUAGGUGGGGAAUAAGGACCGGCUAACUACGUGCCAGCAGCCGCGGUAAUACGUAGGGUCCGAGCGUUGUCCGGAAUUAUUGGGCGUAAAGAGCUCGUAGGCGGCGUGUCGCGUCUGCUGUGAAAGCCCGGGGCUUAACUCCGGGUGUGCAGUGGAUACGGGCAUGCUUGAGGUAGGUAGGGGAGACUGGAAUUCCUGGUGUAGCGGUGAAAUGCGCAGAUAUCAGGAGGAACACCGGUGGCGAAGGCGGGUCUCUGGGCCUUACCUGACGCUGAGGAGCGAAAGCAUGGGGAGCGAACAGGAUUAGAUACCCUGGUAGUCCAUGCCGUAAACGUUGGGCGCUAGGUGUGGGGCCUUUCCACGGGUUCCGUGCCGUAGCUAACGCAUUAAGCGCCCCGCCUGGGGAGUACGGCCGCAAGGCUAAAACUCAAAGGAAUUGACGGGGGCCCGCACAAGCGGCGGAGCAUGUUGCUUAAUUCGACGCAACGCGAAGAACCUUACCAAGGCUUGACAUUGCCCACGCACCCGUAGAGAUACGGGGUCAUUUGGUUGGUGGGUGACAGGUGGUGCAUGGCUGUCGUCAGCUCGUGUCGUGAGAUGUUGGGUUAAGUCCCGCAACGAGCGCAACCCUUGUUCCAUGUUGCCAGCACGUAGUGGUGGGGACUCAUGGGAGACUGCCGGGGUCAACUCGGAGGAAGGUGGGGAUGACGUCAAGUCAUCAUGCCCCUUAUGUCUUGGGCUGCAAACAUGCUACAAUGGCCGGUACAACGGGGUGCGAUGCCGUGAGGUGGAGCGAAUCCCUAAAAGCCGGUCUCAGUUCGGAUUGGGGUCUGCAACUCGACCCCAUGAAGGUGGAGUCGCUAGUAAUCGCGGAUCAGCAACGCCGCGGUGAAUACGUUCCCGGGCCUUGUACACACCGCCCGUCACGUCACGAAAGUCGGCAACACCCGAAACGUGUGGCCCAACCCUUGUGGGGGGAGCGCGUGAAGGUGGGGCUGGCGAUUGGGACGAAGUCGUAACAAGGUAGCCGUACCGGAAGGUGCGGCUGGAUCACCUCCUUUCU